rnacentral:rRNA from 1 species
ACGCUCGACACCUACUGGAGGCAGCAGUGGGGAAUAUUGCACAAUGGGGGAAACCCUGAUGCAGCGACGCCGCGUGAGCGAAGAAGUAUCUCGGUAUGUAAAGCUCUAUCAGCAGGGAAGAAGAUGACGGUACCUGACUAAGAAGCACCGGCUAAAUACGUGCCAGCAGCUGCGGUAAUCUGAGCGGGCUGGCAAGGC